UACGAGGGGUGCAAGCGUUGCUCGGAAUUAUUGGGCGUAAAGGGCAGGUAGGUGGUCUCAUUUGUCAGGGGUGAAAGCCUUGGGCUUAACCCAAGAAGUGCCUUUGAAACGGUGAGACUGGAGUCUUGGAGAGGGUCGUGGAAUUCCCCGUGUAGCAGUGAAAUGCGUAGAGAUGGGGAGGAACACCAGAGGCGAAGGCGGCGACCUGGACAAGUACUGACACUCAACUGCGAAAGCGUGGGUAGCAAACAGG
rnacentral:rRNA from 1 species